rnacentral:rRNA from 1 species
UACGUAGGGUGCGAGCGUUGUCCGGAAUUAUUGGGCGUAAAGAGCUCGUAGGCGGUGUGUCACGUCGGCCGUGAAAACCUGCAGCUUAACUGUGGGCGUGCGGUCGAUACGGGCAUCACUGGAGUUCGGCAGGGGAGACUGGAAUUCCUGGUGUAGCGGUGAAAUGCGCAGAUAUCAGGAGGAACACCGGUGGCGAAGGCGGGUCUCUGGGCCGAUACUGACGCUGGAGGAGCGAAAGGCGUGGGGAGCAAACACGG